ACCGUCCAAAAUCCAUUGCUAAAUGCACACUCACAUACUGGUAUGUGAGGCUUUGUUAAGCCAUGCUUUUUAUCUGAUUUAUAGCCAAGUGUUUUGAUUGUAUCUCUUUGCUUAGAAAGGUAGCCCUACAGUCUGCUCGUCAUCCAGUGCCUCUUCCACUAGCUCUUAGGUCAUAGAUUCUAAUCAACUUUCUCUUUUGCCCUCCAGUAUUCAGAAAAUCGACCACAUUUUACCUUUGUUGAUGGGGCCACUAUUAUAAUUAAGUGGGAACAAUAAAUCCCACUCCCUUGGUCUUUCUUUUUUAUUCUUUGUACAUUCCUAAACUCCCCUUUAAUCUCACGUCUGUUAGAAAGAUCAAAAAAUCACUGAAUUGUUCUAUAACCUCCUUUCCUCGUUAUAUUGUCAUUCAAGAUUUGAAGAUGAGGAAGAUAAUGGGCAGAGGACAUGAGGCUAGUGGUUUUUUUCUUUGAUUCGCUAGCUCCUUCUCUUUCUUGCACUGUUGCUGCUAUACCACUUCAAAUCCGUUGCUGUCAUGGGCAUCCUUUGUUGGACAAGUUGGAUUCUUUACUUUGACUUUCUGUCCAGUGAGAGUCUUGUCAAAAGUGCCAUUGUGUUCUGUUUCCUGAGUUAAGAAACAGUGAUGACAUUAGGGCUCCGUCAAUUGCACCAUAUACAUUGCACUAGUACAGGUUCGAGUUGGACAUGCAUUGAGAGCAUAAGUUUGACUAUCGUCAGGGAAUUCCCAACCGCUUCUCGACAUCGGGGGUACAUCUUCAUGUAUACGACCUCCAAUUAGUUGACAGAAACAGUCGAGGGGUGACCAAUUGGAUGAAUUUCCAUAGGAUGUAUAUGGAUGUAUAGCAGGAUCGGAGAGAGCAUACCAUCCUAGUGGAGCUAGAGGAUGGUCCUUUGCGUUUGGACGACCCAUACUUCAGGUGGUAUAAGUCCAUCACAUGACGCUUCAUGGGUAGGACCGCAACUGUAUAUAUGAGCCUUUGCAGGCUGUCAUACUAGAGGAAGUAGAUCUGAUCUCUCCAAAUCCUGUAGUACAGGGAUUGGUGAGGUCUGGAUUGAGGAUUGUCCACAAGAAUGGACAACUGGAAAUGGGCCCAUGUACCUCAACCUCACCCACCUAGAUAAGGAGGUCGAGCUGUUCCAGUAUGAGGAGGACAUUGCUCUGCAUGUGGAUAGUGGUUCACGGAGCCGCUUUGAUGAGCUGCAUGUUGUAUAGAGUGAGCACGUGUUUGGCCCGUCAACACCAUAUGCAUAUUCGACAGGAGUUGAUAUUGCGGAGCCGUCCAGUAGCAAACCAUAUGUCAGAGAUGUUCCUUCAUCCCUGCUAGCCCUUCAGGUUUGCGUACCCCAUAUGACUCUCCUACCACCCCAUCCACAUCAUUCUUGUUGGACGAUAGUCUAGAUGUUGAGUACAUAGAUGCACCAGUCAUACCACCUCGUUCUCAUCCAACAUCAUUAUAUGAGCCAUCUUCCCAUCUGCUUCAUAUGGAUAAUGAUGCAGUACCUCAGGGUGGAGAUGGUUGACUUACAACACAACGGUAGGGCAGAAGACCGAAUGGAGAUGACUAGCAAGGAGAGGGCGGAUGCAAACGGAAACCAUCCUAACACUGGAGACCAUCUGUGUAUGGUAGUUUAGUAGUCAUUAUUGUGUAUGUACUUUAUGGCCUAUUUGUGUUGUACAUUAAUCUGAUUCUUAUGCUUUCAUGUGUAUGGCUUAAUUGCAUUAUUUCUGUAUAAUUGGGGAUGUUUAUUUGUUGUUCCCUAAUGUGUAUAUGUAAUUGGAAAUUACCGCAUGCAUAGUCUCAAUGUAUGAAGUCGUGUAUGAAAGUUGUGAAAA